UACAGAGGGUGCGAGCGUUAAUCGGAAUUACUGGGCGUAAAGCGUGCGUAGACGGUUACGUAAGUCGGGUGUGAAAGCCCCGGGCUCAACCUGGGAAUUGCAUUCGAGACUGCGAAGCUAGGGUGCGGAAGAGGGAAGCGGAAUUUCCAGUGUAGCGGUGAAAUGCGUAGAUAUCGGAAGGAACAUCAGUGGCGAAAGCGGCUUCCUGGUCCAGCACCGACGUUCAGGCACGAAAGCGUGGGGAGCAAACAGG
rnacentral:rRNA from 1 species